CGUGAGUCUUGGUUCUGGUCUUAAUGGACUGUUCUGGACUUCGGCUCUGUUUGGUGCUUUGGCUUAUUAUGGGGAGUGACAGUUCAACACCAUCG
rnacentral:lncRNA from 1 species